rnacentral:rRNA from 1 species
UACAGAGGGCGCGAGCGUUAUUCGGAUUUACUGGGCGUAAAGCGCGCGUAGGCGGCUUUGCAAGUCGGGUGUGAAAUCCCCAGGCUUAACCUGGGAACUGCAUUCGAGACUGCAUUGCUAGAGUAUGGGAGAGGGAAGUGGAAUUUCCGGUGUAGCGGUGAAAUGCGUAGAUAUCGGAAGGAACAUCAGUGGCGAAAGCGACUUCCUGGACCAAUACUGACGCUCAUGUGCGAAAGCGUGGGGAGCAAACAGG